rnacentral:rRNA from 1 species
AGAGUUUGAUCCUGGCUCAGGCUGAACGCUGGCGGCGUGCUUUAUACAUGCAAGUCGAACGAGGUCCAUGGAGCUUGCUCCGGACGACCUAGUGGCGAACGGGUGCGUAACACGUGAGGAACCUGUCCCGAUCACUGGGAUAACAGUUGGAAACGACUGCUAAUACCGGAUACCGCCGGUGCACCGCAUGGUGCGCCGAUGAAAGGGUUCACUGGAUCGGGAGGGUCUCGCGGCCUAUCAGCUUGUUGGAGAGGUAACGGCUCACCAAGGCAUCGACGGGUAGCUGGUCUGAGAGGAUGAUCAGCCACACUGGGACUGAGACACGGCCCAGACUCCUACGGGAGGCAGCAGUAAGGAAUCUUGCACAAUGGGCGAAAGCCUGAUGCAGCAACGCCGCGUGCGGGAAGACGGCCCUAGGGUUGUAAACCGCUUUCAGCAGGGAAGAAAAUGACGGUACCUGCAGAAGAAGGUGCGGCCAACUACGUGCCAGCAGCCGCGGUGACACGUAGGCACCAAGCGUUAUCCGGAUUUAUUGGGCGUAAAGAGCUCGUAGGCGGUUCGGUAAGUCGGGUGUGAAAACUCUGGGCUCAC